CUCAGCACGGGCGUCCCCUGCCCCUCCUCAUCCAGCCAGCCCCCCCUCCGCACCCCCAAACCGCUGCUAACGCUCCCCUUGUCCACACUGGGGGUGCAGCCCCCGGUCCCAAACUCCUCCAGCCACAGGCAGCACAUUUUGGGAGGUUUUCUCCCUUUUUUUGGGGCACAAUUGGCUCCUACUUCUGAGGUGGGGGUGCUCCCCGAAUGGCCAGGGGAUGGUCAGGGACGUGCUCGGGCCCGGGUGCUGCACCCCUGGGGUGGCAUUGCCAGGGUGGGGGGACGGUGACACCCCGCCCCGCUGCUGCUGCUGCUGCUGCUGCUGCUGCUGCUCCCCGCUCUGCUGCACGCCACCGGCUCCCUCCGCAUCCCGGCUCAGCGCCCGGCCACGCCCGAGCUCCUCGGAGCCAUCCCUCCUCCCAAAAAAAAAAACCAUCAGCUGUCUGCCCCACCCUCGGAUGGGUCCUGUGGGUCGGGAUGGGGACACGCAGAGAUGCAGCCGGGGCUGAGCCCUGGGCUGGGGCUGCCGCGGCCCCCAGAGCGUGGCACAGAGCCCCGGACACCAACCCGGCUGUGAGAGACCCGCAGCGCCUCCCGGACCCCGUUUUGAGGCCGUUUUUGAGGGGUCGCAUCCCCCCGCGGGGAUUUCCCGGAGCGGCACAGCCCCGCCAGCCGGGGCUCGAGUGUCUUUGCUUUAUUUGUUUAAUUAAAACCAAGGCGAGUAGGGCGGCCCAGCCGUCGGGAGCCGGCGCCCUGCGCAAAGCGAUUCCUCGGGGAAGCCCGGCGGCCGAGCGGGACCACGGGGGCAGCCGGGUGAGUCUCCCCCUCCCUCCCUAAAGCACUUGGGGCCCUUUUCCCUCUUUUUCCUCAUCCCGCCGGGAUUUGCGGUUAUAAUACACCACCAAACUCUCUCCUCCGCCUUCCCCUGCUCAGGUCUCGGGCUUUCCCGGCAGCAGGAUCACCCCGGAGGAUUUGGCCACAGCGGGGUCCCUCCUCUGGGGUCGCUCCCUGGGCAAAACCUCUCCCGUGCGGCCCCUUUUUGGCCGCGGAGGGUCCCCGUGCCCUCGGUGCCUUGCCCGUUUUUCCCCGGUGAAGACGUGACCCCUUCCUCCUCCUCCUCCUCCUCCUCUUCCUCCUCCUCUUCCUCCUCCUCUUCCUCGCGGGGUCGGAGCGCGUUCCACCCGGGAAAUCCGCCACGGUGUCGGCAUCCAGGCUCCGCGGUGCUGGAGCUGCUCUGAGCCCAGAAGCCCCUUCCCAAACCCAAAAGGGCCUUUUUUCCGCCUCGCUUCCUCCUCCCUCCCACCGAGGAGACGUCAGGUUACAGCCUCCGCUUUGAGAGGCGGGGGGGCCCGGGCAGGACCCCCCUCGCUCCUGGAGGGACCCCGGCUCCUCUCCGGCAUCGCUAGAAGAAGCAGCAGCUGCAGCCCCCGAAAUCGCGCCCGCCCGGCCUGAAGUUCCGCAUGCAGAAGCGGCCGCGGGGCCCCUCCUGAGCCUCUCCAUCCUCUCCGUCUUUCUCAGGAACUCCGCGGCCCCGGAGCCGUGCGGGAGCACGGUGGGACCGAGCCGAGCCGUGCUGCCGGCCCCGGCAGCCUUUUGCUUGACAGAACUGGUUGUUGACCUUAUUUUUAUUUUUUUUUUUUACUUUUUUUACCUUUUUUUUUUUUUUUAACUUUUUUUUUUUUUUUUUUCCCUAAGCACCCACCCGCUUGGUUUUGUCCUUGCCCAGCUGACCUUGUUGUGUUUUUUCCCACCCCCUUUUCCAAUUUUUACCGUGUCUGUGACAUUUCCUAUCGAUAAGUAAAGAGGGACUCCAGCGUCCUGGUCUUUCUUGUGCAUCUUUGGUUGUCACUGUGUGUUUUUCUGCCUCCCUCCAUCCGUCCCAGCAGCAGGUAAUGGUGGCACCCGUGGGUGAGCCCACGGGAGAGGAGGAGCCGCCCUGGAAUCGGGAUGCUGGAGCCGCUUGCUGCUGCCCGGGGGCGCUUGCUUGGCUGGAGGGCAGCGGUGUGGGGCUGGGGGGGCUGGAGGGGCUGCGUUGGGAUGGAAAUGAAGCAUUCCAGGAUUUCCCAGCCGG